rnacentral:rRNA from 1 species
GAUGAACGCUAGCGGCAGGCCUAAUACAUGCAAGUCGAGGGGUAGAAGAGGCUUGCUUCUUUGAGACCGGCGCACGGGUGCGUAACGCGUAUGCAACCUACCUUCAUCUGGGGGAUAGCCCGGAGAAAUCCGGAUUAAUACCGCAUAAAAUCACAGGAUGGCAUUAUCCAAUGAUCAAACAUUUAUGGGAUGGAGAUGGGCAUGCGUGUCAUUAGCUAGUUGGCGGGGUAACGGCCCACCAAGGCGACGAUGACUAGGGGAUCUGAGAGGAUGGCCCCCCACACUGGUACUGAGACACGGACCAGACUCCUACGGGAGGCAGCAGUAAGGAAUAUUGGUCAAUGGAGGCAACUCUGAACCAGCCAUGCCGCGUGCAGGAAGACUGCCCUAUGGGUUGUAAACUGCUUUUAUUCGGGAAUAAACCUUAUUACGUGUAAUAAGCUGAAUGUACCGAAGGAAUAAGGAUCGGCUAACUCCGUGCCAGCCGCCGCAGUAA